CAAAUAAGCUCCUUACUUCCUACGGUAUACUUAUCAUAGUUGCUUCCUUUGAUUUACAGGCAUAUCAACUCCAGAAGAUGUGCACAACGAAGUUAAGCCGGAUAUGCAAGAAGGAAGAUGUUUCAUCAUGUUGACCACUAUAGAUUUGAAGUCCAGUUCUGGAGCACUUGAACAUGCUAGGAUCUUUGGAUCUUGGAGACAUAUACAGGUCAUAUUGACUACGUAUUUCCUUACAAUUACAAAUGUACCAUACUUGUUGUAAUAUGAACUUCUGGACAAUAUGGCACAUAUAUGAAUUAUGAAGUGUUUUUUGAAAGAUAUAGCAAUAAAUAAUGAUUGCCUAACUUGUUGUCCACAUAAUUUAUGUCACUUCAUACCUAACCAGACCAUUUAUUUCUAAGAUAAG